rnacentral:rRNA from 1 species
UACGAAGGGGGCUAGCGUUGUUCGGAAUCACUGGGCGUAAAGGGCGCGUAGGCGGCUUUAUAAGUCGGGGGUGAAAGCCUGUGGCUCAACCACAGAAUUGCCUUCGAUACUGUAGAGCUUGAGACCGGAAGAGGUAAGUGGAACUGCGAGUGUAGAGGUGAAAUUCGUAGAUAUUCGCAAGAACACCAGUGGCGAAGGCGGCUUCCUGGUCCGGUUCUGACGCUGAGGCGCGAAAGCGUGGGGAGCAAACAGG